rnacentral:rRNA from 1 species
AUCGGCUAGACUUUAUAAAUUUGAAAUCUAAUUGAUGUUAGUUUAGGGUUUUGUAAAUAUAUCUUGUUUUUUAGGGUGAAAUCGGGAAUUUUUAUUGAUAAUGCUCUAAUCUUUAAGAUUUGGUGAAUGAAUCAGAUUAGUACCUGAUUAAACAAAAAUUAAAAGAGCAGGAGUAAAGUUGUAUUUAAACUGUAAGAAUAUUGGCAGGUUUUUAAAUUAUCUUUGGAGGUUGAGUAGUAAUUGAGAGCCCUCAUUAACAACUUUUACUGUAGGCGCAUGUAUGAUCGUUUAUUUUAUUCUUAAGGAUUGUAAUUUUACAUUAACUAUUUUCUGUAAAAAUAGAUAAAUACUUGGUAUAUGUAAAAGAUUUAAUUUGACCUACAAUAUGCUAUCUUGUGGAUACUUUUUUAGUACAAGGUUGAAAAUGUAAAAGACAGUAAGUUUUUUUUUAUAUAAAGCUGAAGUUUAUUUUAAAACGGUACAAAACACC